rnacentral:rRNA from 1 species
UACGUAGGGGGCAAGCGUUGUCCGGAUUUAUUGGGCGUAAAGCGCUCGCAGGCGGCUCGAUGCGUCGUGCGUGAAACACCCCGGCUCAACUGGGGAGGGUCGUGCGAUACGGUCGGGCUGGAGGCCAGUAGGGGGAUGCGGAAUUCCGGGUGUAGUGGUGGAAUGCGUAGAGAUCCGGAGGAACACCAGUGGCGAAGGCGGCCGCCUGGACCUGACCUGACGCUGAGGCGCGAAGGCGCGGGGAGCGAACGGGG